rnacentral:lncRNA from 1 species
CAGCCAGAGAGGAAAGCCACCCUCCACCCCUUUAAAUCUAACCAGCAAGGCAGAUGAUUGUCACGAAAACACAGCUACCUUACUGCAACAGGAAAGCUCCCCAUGGCUCUACGUGUUUAAGCGAUGCCCUCAACAUGCACGGGCAGCCCAUCAGUACUUGAAAGCUUGGAAGGCUUGGACUGAGUGGAAGGGACACCCGUUUUAAGGCUUCAUGGCACUCGAGUGGCUGCUUCAAGAAGAUGGUUUGAAUGGAGCCUUCGGGAAAUCGUAAUGACUGACACCAGCCUAAACGAGCUGAAGAACCACAAGAAACAGCCUCUCUCUAGGAGAGUACUGAAUGACAUCAGUGUGUGUGUGUGUGUGUGUUUACACAUAGUCUUCACUGCUUUGAAAGUUUUUCUCUGUGCCGGGGUGGGGUGGGAUAGGGAAGAUGGGGGGCCUGGGGGUAAGAGUUGGGGGGGGGGGAAUCCCUAGUGCUCUCUGCUCAACUUCUCCAUUUUAAUUAUACAUCUUAGCAACACCUGCCUAGAAAACAUUCUGCCAUAGUCAAGAUGGGUGUUCCCUAGUCACUUAACAUUCUCAAGACAACCCCCCACAGGCAUGCCCUGAAGCCCAUCUCUCAGAGAAACACCAUCAAGGAUUAAAAGCCAAACCACAGCCAGUCUGGCGUGUCAGGGGCCGCUGCAUCUUAACUACAAGUCAAAGGCUGAGCAAAUUGAAAAAGCAAAAAUGAAGAAAGUGAUGCCCCGGAGCAAACCUCCAUCUUCCAGGCGCAAGAGACAGGCAAAUGGAUAUACAAACUACGGAAUGUCUACACCAUGGACUAUUAGUAAUAAAGAG